rnacentral:rRNA from 1 species
AGAGUUUGAUCCUGGCUCAGAACGAACGCUGGUGGCGUGUUUUAUACAUGCAAGUCGAGCGAGGACAAUAGCUUGCUAUUGAGCCGAGCGGCGAACGGGUGAGUAACGCGUAAGCAAUCUGCCCCAUAGUCGGGAAUAACCGCGCUAACGUGCGGCUAAUGCCGGAUAUUGUGUCCUACCGCAUGGUAGGUUGACGAAAGAUUUAUCGCUAUGGGAUGAGCUUGCGUCCGAUUAGCUAGUUGGUAGGGUAAUGGCCUACCAAGGCAGUGAUCGGUAGCCGACCUGAGAGGGUGAUCGGCCACAUUGGGAUUGAGAUACGGCCCAGACUCCUACGGGAGGCAGCAGCAAAGAAUAUUGCGCAAUGGGGGGAACCCUGACGCAGCAACGCCACGUGUGGGAAGAAGCAUUUCGGUGUGUAAACCACUGUCGAAAAGGAAUAAUAGAAGAUUUCGGUCUUUUUGAAUGUACUUUUAAUAGGAAGCACCGGCAAACUUCGUGCCAGCAGCCGCGGUAAUACGAGGGGUGCAAGCGUUGUUCGGAAUUACUGGGCGUAAAGGGAGCGUAGGCGGAGCUUCAAGCAAUCUGUAUAAUCCUGGGGCCCAACCCCAGUCCUGCAGAUUGGACUGUAGCUCUUGAAUAGUUCAGAGGCAAGCGGAAUACCUGGUGUAGCGGUGGAAUGCGUAGAUAUCAGGUAGAACACCAAUGGCGAACGCAGCUUGCUGGGGACUUAUUGACGCUGAGGCUCGAAAGUGUGGGUAGCAAACAGGAUUAGAUACCCUGGUAGUCCACACCGUAAACGAUGAGCACUAGGUGUCGGGGUCGCAAGACUUCGGUGCCGCAGUUAACGCAUUAAGUGCUCCGCCUGGGGAGUACGUACGCAAGUAUGAAACUCAAAGGAAUUGACGGGGACCCGCACAAGCAGCGGAGCAUGUGGUUUAAUUCGAAGCAACGCGAAGAACCUUACCAGGUCUUGACAUCCUCUGACUGCAUUAGAGAUAAUGCGUUUCCUUCGGGGACAGAGAGACAGGUGGUGCAUGGUUGUCGUCAGCUCGUGUCGUGAGAUGUUGGGUUAAGUCCCGCAACGAGCGCAACCCUUAUCCUUAGUUGCCAUCAUUAAGUUGGGGACUCUAGGGAGACUGCCAGCGUAGAAAGCUGGAGGAAGGUGGGGACGACGUCAAGUCAUCAUGGUCCUUAUGUCCAGGGCUACACACGUGCUACAAUGGUUGGUACAAAGAGCAGCGAGACAGUAAUGUUAAGCGAAUCUCAUAAAGCCAAUCUCAGUUCAGAUUGAGGUCUGCAACUCGACCUCAUGAAGUCGGAAUCGCUAGUAAUCGUGCGUCAGAACAGCACGGUGAAUACGUUCCCGGGUCUUGUACACACCGCCCGUCAAG